CAGUUAAAGUCAUUACCGAAAGCCCCGAUCUCCCACAAGACCCCGCCGUUUAUGUUAGCGGCAAAUGUAGUAAUAUUAAAAAGCUGCACCGCAUGGUUUGCCACGCUGCCUCGUGCCUUAAAAGGUAUGUAGCACGUAAGCCGCGCUGCCGGUACGGGUCAAGCGGCUCUGAUUCCGGUACAGAAAGUACGGAUUCAAAGAUGUCGGUGCAAUCAGUAAUCACAGAGAUUUCUGUGAUUCUGUCAUCAAGGAGCUCAGAUGGAGAGAUGACAGAUAAAGAUAAAGAUGAGGAGGAAACUCUAACAGAAAAGGACGAAAUCAAACCAGCUGCAGGAAGCCAAAGUAUCCGAGCUCCAACCCCAGUAGAAGUGGUUGCAGCUGACAUCGUAAAUGAGAUACUUGGCAACAUGGAUUUAAGCAGUGAAGAGCACUGUGAGAGGUGUCGCUUACCCAAACCUGCCUUUAAUGCAGGAUUAAUUAUCAACAAGCUGAGAGACUUCUUCUCCAGAUGUUUGCCAUCCACCUCUCACUCCGGGCUCAAAGCACGCAAACACCGCUUUUCCAUGUUUGCAAAAAAACUAUUUGAAAAAAUGAAAAAAGAGUUGAGAAAAGUAAUAAAGGCAAACAGGAAUUUUUUUGUUUGUCUAAAAAACAUUUGCAAGUACCCCAAAAGUGACACAGUGCCCUCAGAUGAAAGUAAGGUUUCCAGCCUCUCAGGGUCAGUCCCAGAAACUCUUCGUCCCCAGAGUACAGAGGCUCAUCGAGCCCCUUCCCGAAACACACUGCUUCGUUACAUACGUUCCUCUCCAGUCGACUUUGACGCCAUUGGAUCAGACGUUAAUCAGUUAUAUGAGAAAUUAACAAAGAAAGAAAAACUCGUCAUCGUCCACAAAACAGUGGAAAACUUUAGAACUAGUGGGGGAACCAGAGAUUUUACUGUGGAGUUGACGGCAAAAAUGUUUGAUCUACUCAUGACGGAUCGACUGUAUCAAAUCCCCGAACCUGUAAUGGGUAGAUCCCUGUCUGACACCGUCAUCUCCAGGACUCCACGACAAACACAUGGCUCAAAGCGUCCCUUUUCUGCUGAAGUCCUCUAUGUGCUCGUAGAAGACGCAGUAGAAAAGUUUGUAAAAAAACUUUUAAUCUGGGUGGAGAACGAAGACCAAGAUCAAAUGAUUGAGGACAAGGUUUCUGUGGCUGUGGAAGACAUCCAGAACUUUAUGAAAAGAACAAGG
rnacentral:lncRNA from 1 species